rnacentral:rRNA from 1 species
CACGUAGGGGACGAGCGUUGUCCGGAUUCAUUGGGCGUAAAGGGCGCGUAGGCGGCAAUUCAAGUCAUCUGUGAAAUCUCCGGGCUUAACUCGGAACGGUCAGAUGAUACUGCUUUGCUAGAGUGCGGAAGGGGCAAUCGGAAUUCUUGGUGUAGCGGUGAAAUGCGUAGAUAUCAAGAGGAACACCUGAGGUGAAGACGGGUUGCUGGGCCGACACUGACGCUGAGUGCGCGAAAGCCAGGGGAGCAAACGGG